AUAAUGAAUCUACCCAACCCGCUUCGUACUCGUAUCAUAUUUCACAAAUCAACUGAGUUACGAUUUGUGCGUUGCGGACGAUUCUUAUUACGGGCAACCAAACAACGACGACUGCGAGGUCAAAUUUAUCAAAUUUAUUGUCGAAUUCGACGAGCAAACAGUGGCUCGUUCAAUCAGUAUACACAUUCCAUCACCGGCGAUAAUUAUUCAACUCCCACUAAUCUGAUGGAUGGAAAUAAUUCCGAUGACAAUGAGAACACCAAAAUGUGGACGCCCAGAAUUGAAAUGAAAUUAAUAAAUAUGUUGAGAGAUGAGGUUAGAAACAAUCAAACAACGGAC